CCUACGGGUGGCAGCAGUGAGGAAUAUUGGUCAAUGGGCGGACGCCUGAACCAGCCAAGUAUCGUGCGGGAUGAAUGCCCUACGGGUCGUAAACCGCUUUUGCACGGGGAUAACACCCUCCACUUGUGGAGGUCUGCAGAUACCGUGAGAAUAAGGGCAGGCUAAUUCCGUGCCCGCAGCCGUGGUAAUACGGAAGGCCCGAGCGUUAUCCGGUUUCAUUGGGCUUAAAGGGAGCGUAGGCGGGCGUUCAAGUCCGCUGUAAAAUCGCGCGGCUCACCCGCGCCCCGCAGUUGAAACUGGACGCCUUGAGUUCACAACAGGCAGGCGGAAUGCGUGGUGUAGCGGUGAAAUGCAGAGAUAUCACGAGGAACCCCGAUUGCGAAGGCAGCCUGCCGGGGUGCGACUGACGCUGAGGCUCGAAGGUGCGGGUAUCAAACAGGAUUAGAUACCCGGGUAGUC
rnacentral:rRNA from 1 species